AGAAGAAAAAGGAUGGCCUAGCGGCACACGGAUGCUUCUUGAUACAGGGACAAGGGCUUAGUGGAUCAUGACGCGGUCUCCUCCCAGAUCUCGCUUUGCCGCACUGCUCUUUAUCGUUGUCACUCUCGCUUCAAUCUUCUCGCUGUCGUCGGAGGUUAAGAACCUUCAAAUCUCCUCGGGCUCCCGGCUGAUUGUCCUCUUCGAGAAGUUCGGAUUCACCUCUCACAGUGAGAUGAACGUCACCGUCUCCGACGUCCCUGUGUCCUCCACCAUCGCCGCCACCGACCUUGCCUGCCUCGGCUUCUUACUCCUCGUUGACAAGAGUCUCAUCCAGGCCAACUUUGACAAACCAUGCCAAUGAAUGGGCGGCCGCCGUAAGAGGUUCGACGGAUGCAGACAGCCGACCGGCAGGCCGUCCCACACCGGUCCUGCGUCGUCGUUUCCAGCCUAGCUGGCGCCUCCAUCAUCCACAACAUCUACAAUCCCGACUUCAAUUCUUCCUCCAAUGGAUCCUCUCUCACCUGGCAAAUCCAAGGGUUCGAUCGGUGUUCUGUAUCGACCUCAGUUUUUGACCACUUCAAUGAACUGUUCAUCUGGUCUUCCUCGUUCCUCUUCGGUGCAUCAAAGUGUUUGCAGCAAGUUUCAACUAUCCUUUUAUGAUGGAGAGUUUCCAUCCUUAUCUUGAUUUGCCCCGAGUGGUGUUCUUAAAAAGUUGUCUGAUUCGGAUUUCGAUAUAUGACUGCUUACGACAUCGAGAUGGAAGCCCUUCCUACUGCCCUCAUUCAUUACCAGGAAGUCAUAGGUCUUAUUGCCUGAGAGGAGACUACCAGAGCCGUCUUCCUCCCUCUUCUCCUAUCUUUACACAAAGUACCUAACCUUAAUAGGUUGUCAGAUAAGGAAAAUCAAUAGACAGAAGCAAUGUGGAAAUAUUGGGAGGGGGUUGUUCACUACGCCACUGCUGUUUGUAAUUGUUCUUUUGUCUUCUUCCCUUCUCAUCUCUCACUGGCCAAAUUCGACCUGAUAUCUGGUAUGCACCAAGUUUACAAUACUUAGUAUUGUAUAUUUAGUGCCCAUUUCAGUGGCAAAGUGGAUUCUCAUGCUAUUGCACUAAGGGAGUUGCCAUGUCUCCAUCUUCUUACUUAAGAGUUAAAUAGUAAUACAUAAGGCAGAGAAGGCAAAGCUUGGAUUCAGAAAGAGCAGAUAAUGAAUGAUUCCAUGCCUUUUUUUUGUGAUCCAUCAGCUUCAUGAUUUGAUCACCAUAUUUAGAGCAAAUUAAUGGCAAAGAAGGCAAACCUAGGAUUCAUAAACAUCAUGAGAUUUUAUUUAAUCUCCAUUAUCUGCAUCUUUCACUAAAGAGAUUGGUUCAUUCUGUUUGUACAAAUGUCUAUCAUUUUGAUAAGACAAUCCUUGAUGUAUAUGGUAACUUAAGUUUAAUUGCCUACUGUCUUAUUUAUCUACCAAAUGUGUAAUUUACCCACCUUCUGCUAUUUUUUGUUCUUGUUUUUUGGUAAUCCGAGACACAGGAAUUUUACUGAUUUUCUUGCAAUUGCCUUUUUGAACAGAAGUUUUUACUGGUUCUUUUGCAAUUGCCUUUUUGACUAAGCUCGUUAUUAUACUUUUUAUUUGAUAAUUGUACACUAACAUCUCUCUUGUUAAGCAGAGAACUUGGAUCAGGAUCAUUUCUGGGUUCCAGCUUCCAGAUCUAGGGUUCUGUCUCAAUCAAGGUCUCCAACACCUGUUCGCAGAUCUCGAUGUGAUAGGUCACUUUGUCUGCUAUGCCACUCAGAUACAAUUGUUGCUCAGUUCCCACUUUAAUAUCUUGUCAUAUUCUCAUAUAAAGACAUGUUUCCCAGGGCAAUGCCACAAAUCCUGGAAAUACACUUUUAUGUAACGGGUCUGCCCAGCAGAGUUACUGAAAAGGAUCUUGAGAUACACUUCUCAAAGGAAGGAAAGGUUCAACUUACUUUUCAGAUUAAACGGGCAUUUUCUCCUUCCCAGACAAUUAGAUGGAGUUGAGUGUCGUUGUUUCUCAGAUAGCUGAAUGAUAUUUAAUUGUGGAACCACACACUCGUGCCUCUAGAGGAUUUGCAUCCGUCACCAUGGGUAGUGUUGAAGAUCCUCGACGUUGUAUCAAAUAUCUGAACCAGUCCGUUUUGGAGGGCAGAUACAUGUUGCUUGGAUGGUAUCAAGAAAUCCUUUUAUGUCCUGCUUAUCCAUUCUUAGUCUUGACUUGGAGGUUCUUUGUCAUAUCCAGAAGCCAAUACAUCAGCUCUGUUGCAGCAGCAAGAUGUUGAGUUCAUCCUUUCAAUCUUAGUCAUACAGCUUGGUGAAUGGCCACAGCUUAACAGUUUGCCAUGCAUCACAUCACCUAACAUUGCGAACUUGCCCAACUCAACAAUUUCAGCUUUCUACUUCAACUAUCUCAGCAACUAAAUACAUGGACACUACCAACUUAGCAUUCAUCUAAUCAUGCUGCUAGUCCGUCCUUGUCUCAGUCGUUUACCUUAUCUUCGUUUCUAUUGAUUUUCACAUCCAGAAUCAAUUGGCAUUCGUAAGUCAACAUAUUGAUGCCCAUUUAGACAAGCGUAUUAUAUUCAAGAUUUGUGUGCGCGCGCGCGCGCGUGCUCUUUUCAUCCUGAUUUCUUAUUCUUUAUGAGCAUGCAGUUUCAUACUCUUGCAGAGUAUAAUUCCUUGAAUAAAGAGUAUGUGAUGAAUUGUGUCAUGUUAUUGUUGGAUAAUUUGGGGGAGAUAUUAAGGAAUUUUUGUUGAAUUGAAA